rnacentral:rRNA from 1 species
UAACGCGAAGAACCUUACCAGGUCUUGACAUCCUUUGAAGCUUUUAGAGAUAGAAGUGUUCUCUUCGGAGACAAAGUGACAGGUGGUGCAUGGUCGUCGUCAGCUCGUGUCGUGAGAUGUUGGGUUAAGUCCCGCAACGAGCGCAACCCUUAUUAUCAGUUGCCAGCAUUCAGUUGGGCACUCUGGUGAGACUGCCGGUGACAAACCGGAGGAAGGUGGGGAUGACGUCAAAUCAUCAUGCCCCUUAUGACCUGGGCUACACACGUGCUACAAUGGACGGUACAACGAUUUGCGAAGUCGUGAGGCUAAGCUAAUCUCUUAAAGCCGUUCUCAGUUCGGAUUGUAGGCUGCAACUCGCCUACAUGAAGUUGGAAUCGCUAGUAAUCGCGGAUCAGC